GACGAACGCUGGCGGCGUGCUUAACACAUGCAAGUCGAACGAUGAACUUGGAGCUUGCUCUGGGGGAUUAGUGGCGAACGGGUGAGUAACACGUGAGUAACCUGCCCUGGACUCUGGGAUAACUUCGAGAAAUCGGAGCUAAUACCGGAUAGGACCUUGCACCGCAUGGUGUGGGGUGGAAAGUUUUUCGGUCGGGGAUGGACUCGCGGCCUAUCAGCUUGUUGGUGAGGUAAUGGCUCACCAAGGCGUCGACGGGUAGCCGGCCUGAGAGGGUGACCGGCCACACUGGGACUGAGACACGGCCCAGACUCCUACGGGAGGCAGCAGUGGGGAAUAUUGCACAAUGGGCGCAAGCCUGAUGCAGCAACGCCGCGUGCGGGACGACGGCCUUCGGGUUGUAAACCGCUUUUAGUAAGGAAGAAGGGGAGCUUGCUCCUUGACGGUACUUGCAGAAAAAGGACCGGCUAACUACGUGCCAGCCGCCGCGGUAACAC
rnacentral:rRNA from 1 species